AUGUCUUUGACUUCAUGCACAACACUGCACCAUGGCAUCUCUGAAUUUGUGUGUAACACUCCCCCUGGCAUCUGUGAGUUCGUGUGUAAUACUCCAUCUGUCAUCUCUUACUUUGUGUGUCACACAGCCAGUGACGUCACUGACCUCGUGUGUAACAGUCACCUGGUCUCUCUGACUUCGUGUGUAACACUCCAAUUGGUAUAUCUGACUUCGUAUGUCAAACUCCGCCUGCCAUCUCUGACUUCAUCUGUAACACACACUGUGGCAUCUCUGACUUCAUGUGUAACUCUCCUAUGUGGUUUCUCUAAAUUCAUGUAUCACAGUCCCCAUGGCAUCUCUGAAUUCGUGUGUAACACUCUCCUUGUCUGUGACAGUGUUUCACACUUCCCCAUCAUCUCUGAAUUCAUGCAUAACACUCAUCCUGUUGUCUCUGACAUGGUGAGUCACACUCCAAUUGGUUUCUCUGACUUCGUGUCUAACACUCUCCCUAGUGCCUCUGACUUCGUGUGUCACACUCCCAGUGACCUCUCGGACUUUGUGUGUAAACCUCCAAGUGCUGUCUUUGACUUUGUGUGUGACACUCCCCAUGGUGUCUCUGACUUUGUGUGUAACACUCCCGUGGCCUCUCUGCCAUCCAGUGUAACAUUCACCAUGGCAUCUCUGACUUCAUAUGCAAUAGUCCCACAUGGUGUCACUGACUUCAGGCACAAAACUCUCCCAGCUGUCACUGACUUAGUGUGUAACACUGCACCUGACAUCUCUGACUUCUUGUGUCACAGUCUCACUGGCAGCUCUGAAUUCAUGUGUCCCAUUCCCCCUGUUGUCUCUGACUUCCAGUGUAACACUUCCCCUGUCAUCAGUGACUUUGCGUGUCACACUCCAAUUGGCAUCUCUAACUUAGUGUGUCACACACUCCCUGGUGUCUCUGACAUCCUGUGCAUCACUACCCCUUGUGUGUCUGACUUCGUGUGUCACCCUCACCCUGGUGUCUCAGACUCUGUGUGUAACACUCCCCCUGGUGUUUUCUACUUCAUUUGUAAUACUCCCACUGGAGUUUCAGAAAUUGUGUCUGACACUCACCGGGGUGUCUCUGACUUCCUUUGUCACACUCCACCUGGCAUCCCUGAAUUUGUGUAUCACACUCUCAACAUAUUUGUCUUCAUGUCUAACACAUCUGGUAGUUUCUCUGACUUGGUGUGUCACAGUCCCACUCUCAUCUCUGAAUUCUUGUGUCACACUGUCCUUGGACUCUCAGACAUCAUGUGGAACACUCCCUAUCUCAUCUCAGAGUUUGGGUGUAACACUCCCCUUGAUGUCUGUGACAUCGUUUGUAAGAUUCCAUGUGGCGUCUCUGACUUCGUGUGUCACGGUCUCCUGGAGUCUCUGACAUCAUGUGUAACACUCCAUAUGGCAUUUCUGCCUUCCAGCAUAACACUCCUCCAUGGCGUCUCAGACUUCUUGUGUAACACUAACACUGGCAGCUGUGAUUUCGAGUGUCCAACCACUCCUGGUGUCUCUACUUUGACUAUAACACUUGCUGUUGUGUCUCUGACUCCUUGUGUAACACUACCCCUGGUGACUCUGACUUCUUUUAUCACAAUGCCCAUGGCGUCUAUGACUUCGUGUUUCAUACUCACAUGUAAUCUUGACUUCGUGUCUAACACUCCCCAUGGUGAUUCAGACUUCUUUUGUCACAAUACCCAUGGUGUCUCUUGCUUCAUUUGUCAUAUUUCAUCUGGCAUCGUUGAUUUGCUGUGUAACAUUCCCACGGGCGUCUCUGACUUCAUGUGUCACACUACCCCUGACAUAUUGGAAUUAAUGUGGUACACAUCCCAUGCUGUGUCUGACUUCAUGUGUAAUACUCCAGGUGGCCUUUCUGCCUUCAUGUGUAACACUCCCCCAUAG
rnacentral:lncRNA from 1 species